UUGGGGACAACCGAAAAAUACCAAAAAAUGACUCCUCCUCCAUUUCAUUCUCUACCAAUAGUCAACUAUUUUCACCGUUAGCUGCAUUUUGUUCCAAUAUCUCAUGCCAUCAUCCUUUAAUUUCGAUUUAGGGUUUCAUGAAAAAAUUUCAGUUUCUCAGAAGCUUCUCGAAGAACCUCGAUCUCUUUAUCGAUAAGUUGAUUUUUUUUUCUUUGAUCGAAAAUGUUUGCUACGUACUUUCGUCUAUAUAGUGGCUAUGUAUGUAAUUUUUCAUAUCCAGAAGCUCAAAACCUAGCAAUCGAUUGAUCCGAUUCAGCUUUUGUGCAUCUCUUGAUUUUGGGUUUCAUGAAAUGUUUCAUUUUGUUGGGAGAUUCUUGAACAUCGAUUCAAAAAAUUUAUUAUAUAUUUUGGUCUAAAUAGUAGCUACAUGAGUAAUUGUUGCUCAAAAGUAUAUGCCUAGAAGCUCAAAAUCUCGUAAAUGAUUAGCUUUCAGCUUUUGUAGUUAUGAAUAUUGUAUUUUUUGCUUGUAGUGUAAUGUUGUAGCAAUUCUGUUGUAUAUGAUAGUAAUAACUAACUAGAAAAUCAAGCACCAGAAGAAGAAGAAGAGAUCAAAAGCUUCUAAACAAGGCAAUGUUGUUAAUGGUUCUGAUAAUAGCAAAGUAGGGGAGAGUAGUGUUUUAAAGGUUUUAACAGAUUAGCUCUGUAUCUGUAGAGGAAGAUGAAUGUUCUUAUAAAGAGGCAAAUGGAAACUUGAAUAAAGCGAUGAAUAUUCUGAGUGAUUUGGUAGAGCGUGAGGAAGAGGACAAGAUCAUGAGCUGCUCAAGCUCGAGUGGGAAUGUCAGUUCGAGCUUGGAUUCGAGUAAAAACUCAGACAUGUUUGUUAGGAGUUAAUCGUUGCAGAAUUCGGCUCAGCGCAAGGCUAAUACAAAGAAAUUGGUAGCUGCUGCAGGAACAAUCUCAGCGAUGAUAGGGAAGGAUUACGUGAGGUGUGAAUUUACUUACCGGAGAUUGAGCAUGACAGACACCCCAGGAUCAUCCAGUCAGGACCGCUGCAUCCAGGAGUUGCUUAAGGAGAUUUCUUAUGUUUUGAGUCUAUUUCUUUUUAUGUUGUCUUGUACUUUAUAGUCAUGUCCAGUAGUAAUGAUUCUUUUAGUUGGUGUCGGAGUUUGUCGUAGUAUAGUUGAGUUGAGUCUCUCGUUAUCAUAUUUCCUAUUUUGUAUUUGAAAAUAAAAAAAAGUUGUAAUGAAUAAUCCAAAAAGAUUUUUAUUUUUUUA